GCCUAGCGACCGCGACCGCGCCCCGCUCGGCACAAGAGGCUCCUCCCCUUUCCUGGGGGGCGGAGUCCCAGCGCGGCUCGCGGGACCGGGACGUGACCCGGAAGCCGCGCAGAGGCGACGGCGGUAGUCCGCGCGGCUACUCCCGCAGGCGCCGCCGCUCCCGCCUGCCCCCCACUGUGGCGUGUUCUGUUCCGGGAGGCUUGCGCACGGCCGGGUGCCCGCCUGGGACAGGGCUGCGCCUGGUUUAGGGAAGGCUUACUCUCUCUCUCGGAAGGGUUUAUUGAGCCUGCCUCUGGGAACUUAAUAAGCGAGAGGAGUGCUGUGGCCAGCGCCUGGAUGCUGUGAGCAUGUAACAGGAAAACCUAGUUUAGAUUGCAGUCAGAAAGCCUUUUUUUGUAUGGCUUUGACAUUUAAGGAGAGUUGGGGGAACGCCUCAUUCAAGACACAGACCAGAGGGAGGAAAGGCGGGAUCACGGAUGAUCGCUAGGUGGCCAUGUCAACAACCGAUGGCUCUGGGCACCAUUCUCUAAGAUACAGAGACUUGGGAAGUUUGGCAGGGAAGUGGUGAGGAUCAAGAGUUGGACAUGUGAAUCCGGGAGAAAUGACAUCUAUACAGAUGGAUAUGUGGGUCUGAAGCUCACCAGGAGUGACAAGGCUGGAGAUAGUAAUUGGGGCUUAUUGGAAUACAGAUGGUAUUUGAAGCCACAGAACUGGGCGGGGUUGGUCACAUAGAGGCACAAAGUGAAUAAAGCAACGGGAAACCCAUCUGUAGAAUCCAAGAAGAGGAAUCAGUACAGGACAACAAGCAGAGCCUGCCAGAGAAAUAUGCAGAAAACUAGGGGCCCCGUUUGCCUCUGGGGCUGAGUGAAGAACUGUUUGAGGAGGUAGGGUGGGGUCCACUUUGGCAAAACCUGCUGAGAAGCCAGAGAGGGCGUUGAAAAGUGUCCCACCUUUACCCCAGGGAAGACACCGAUACUUCCAUGGGACGUAUCGCCGCAGAGACUGGGAGGCAGCAGGUUGGAAGUGGGAAUGGGAAGUGAGGAUGAGGUGAUAGCCGGCAAAUCCACCUUAACGGAUCUGGAGAAGCUUGUCUCUGAGAGGAGCAGAGGAAUGGGGAUGGAGGUGGCCCAGGGUGGGAGGAUGUAGGGAUGAGUUAGGUUUUUCAAACGAAAGCAGCAGCAAGGCUGUGCAUACUUUGCCUAAGAACCUUGCAAGUCUCUUGUGGAGCCCAGGAAUCUGCAGAUGCCAGGUACCUCUGAGACAGAGUUGGAGGACCAUAUUUAAAAAGAACUGAGACAUCUUUGCAUGAGUGAGAAUGGUUUAGCAGAGAGGUAAAGAUGGAAUGUAGAGAAGACGAGGUACCCAAGUCAGGUGAGAUGCGGCAGAACCCAGAGUACACACAGAGGGGUUGGUCUUUUCCGUAAUCAUGGGGGAGAAGGAGGCUGGGAGAUCCAUGGGUAAGAAAAUGAGGGCCUUCCUCUCCUUUCCUUAAUGAACACACACACACACACACACAGAGGAAGGAAGGAAGGAAGGAAGGAAGGAAGGAAGGAAGGAAGGAAGGAAGGAAGGAAGGAAGGAAGGAGAGAAGAGGGAAAACGUCCUUCAGUAAGCCUCCUGCCAUUGGCCACAUCUGUCCUUGUCUGUGUGAUCCACUAACCAGGAUCCUUCCACCCCUGUCCUGCCAUCACCUAUCAGCAUUACCUGUGGAUGACCCAUCCCUCCAGCUGCUCCCCUGUGACCCUCAUCCUCAGCCUGGAUGAACUCCACCUGCUUGCUCUGCACCUGCCACUGCCGGAGGAGGAGCCGCAAGACCUGGCAGCAGGCACCGGCAGGAAUGCUUCUGGCCCUCAGCCCUGCCUGGCUCUCCCCCCUGCCCUCUCCUCCCUCCUUCCCUGCAAAGAUAUUGCCAAGCCUUCUCCACUCUCCUCAGCCUGCCUGCAGCCCUUUGCAGACCCCUUGCCUCUGUUUAUGGAGAAAAGUGGAUCCACCCCACUGUUGCCCCCUCCACCCUUCCGAUCCUCCAUGAGGUUAGAAAAACACCGGUCCUGCCCAAGGACUUCUUUGGAUCCCAU